rnacentral:rRNA from 1 species
UACGAAGGGGGCUAGCGUUGCUCGGAAUCACUGGGCGUAAAGCGCACGUAGGCGGAUUGUUAAGUCAGGGGUGAAAUCCUGGAGCUCAACUCCAGAACUGCCUUUGAUACUGGCAAUCUCGAGUCCGGGAGAGGUGAGUGGAACUGCGAGUGUAGAGGUGAAAUUCGUAGAUAUUCGCAAGAACACCAGUGGCGAAGGCGGCUCACUGGCCCGGUACUGACGCUGAGGUGCGAAAGCGUGGGGAGCAAACGGG